GAGCAUAGCUCAGCUGGGAGAGCAUCUGCCUUACAAGCAGAGGGUCACAGGUUCGAUCCCUGUUGUUCCC
rnacentral:tRNA from 4 species